AUCUCCAUUUCCCACUUCCAUCUUCUCCCUCGAAUCCCCGAUUCAGUUCCCAAACCCAUCUUCUACCCCGAUUCAGUGCCCCCCGGCGCCGACUCACCCGGCGUCGAUCUCUAUUCCUCGUUGUCUCAACCGUGGAGGCAGCCACAAACCACGUUCCUUUUGGCCUCCAAUCUUAAAACCCUAGGUGUCCCCGCCGCCGCCGCCGACCCGAUCUCCGUCGGUCAGCAAGCAACGAACAUCGACGCUGCACUGAGAAUUUUCCAGUUUCCCUAGCGUCGUUCUUCGCCCCUGUUUCCAGUUGCUGGUUUGCCUUGCUUUACCCCAGCAACGCCUCCGAUAAGAGCAUCUCCGCCAAGGAGUGGAAGGCCGGCCGCGUUCCGAGCAUAGUCUUCAAGGCUGAGGAUGGCCAGCACGACGGCAACAAGCGCAUCAUUUCUGUGCAGAGCAAUCAGCUCCAUCUUCAUCCGAGCACAGAUGCAAUGCUUAAUGUUACAUUCAUAAGGGCUUCAUCUAGUGCUUGGUUGAAGGUUGAUGUUCCUCUAGUAUUUAGAGGAGAUGAUGUUUCCCCUAGGCUCAAGAAGGUUCUACGGGUAGAGUCUGUUGGGCGGCGGGGGAGGAGGGCUGAGGAGCAGUUACUAUCUGAGACCAAACAAGAACUGCAACUUGACGGCGUGGCCAGCCGGUUGCGAGCCCGGAUGGGCGUGCAAUGUCAAGAAAGAAGACAAUGUUGACAUAAAAAAUGACAGAGAGAUACCGGAGAGAGUUCUUGACUGUCAGCCUUGUUGCCCUGGCUUCUUCUGUCCCCAUGGCCUUACUUGCAUGAUUCCGUGCCCCUUGGGAGCUUACUGCCCUCGAGCUCAACUCAAUCAAGCCACCGGUGUCUGUGAUCCGUACCGUUAUCAACUACCUCCAGGGCAAGCCAACCACAGCUGCGGCGGCGCCGAUAUCUGGUCUGAUUUUAACACUGGCUACGAGUUGUUCUGUUCCGGAGGAUUUUACUGUCCCACCACCACCCAAAGACUCCCCUGCACCGAGGGACAUUUCUGUAGGUCUGGUUCCACAGCUCAAAUGCGUAAGUCGAGUCUUGCUACAUGUGUUUCUGUGUCUUUAUCAUUUAAGAAUGUCUGCAGAUACUGUCUUUAUCAAUUUCUUUUUAAGUAAAAAUGCAGAUACUGCCACUGCAUUCCUUGAGUUAACGUAUUUCUGGUGUGAUGUUUUAUCAGCAUUAAGGAGAGUGAUUGCAAGACGUUUCUCACUUAAGGUAUCAACUUCCUUUGGUUGUAUUGUAUACUUAUUGAUCUUACAUCUUUGUGUUAUAUAAUAGAGCACUUAUGCUGUUUCUGACUCAAAUAGAACCUUGAAUCUAAAAACUCUACUGCAUUGUGAGGUUUUACUUGAUGCUCGGGUAGUUGGGACUUUGGUGCAAUUUAUUUCUUCUUUCAUGUUCCUUAAGUUUGUUCUUAGCAAACACAUGGUAACAGUUUUGUGAUCUGGUGAGUACUUAGAUUUGCUCGAUUCUCGCUCACGGCUUAUCUGUGGUAUCUAUCUAUUGCUAAUUGAAAUCAAAGUGUUGUAAGAUUAUUGUAUUACAUGUAAAGAGGCAGAUUAUUUUUUGUUUUCUACUUGCAGUUAUUAGUAAUAAUAUAAUAAAAAAAGAAUGCCAUGUAUGAGAUUGGUGAGUGUUGACUGAUAA